CUAAGUGUUUUCGCGUGAGGUCCACACUUUUGAGGAGGAUGUCGAUACUGCUAAACUGUCUUCUCUUUGCAUGUGGGCCACAUCUUCCAUAAUGUUUUUCAGAGCCUUCUCCACUUGACUAAUUGAGGCCGCCUCGAUUCAUUAUCUUUGUGGG